CUGAAAUUUACUUAUAAGCUGGUACAAGUACAAGUCUUCACGGUCCCGCUCCAUUACACCACCAAACUAAAACACCUCUUUUCCUCUACAAAGUGUCACCCAUCGUCCACAACAUUUUCUUAGUCUAGCCUCUCCAGAGAGAAUUUUUUAGCCAACACAGCUUAGAAUGUUUUCUGUCUACUCUGAAAUUUAAAAAACAAAAAAACAGAAACAAAACAACAGUAAGCACCUACAGAGUUCAACUAAUCAGUUAAUAUCCAUAUUUAAUGAAUGCCCUUUACUUUAAGGAUAUACUAGGUGAAACUUCCCCAUCCAGAGAUGGUGUUAAAGAACUUACUAGAAUUGCUGAAUGUGCCAAUUCAGUAACGGAGCCCCAACAGAUACA